rnacentral:rRNA from 1 species
GACGAACGCUGGCGGCGUGCCUAACACAUGCAAGUCGAGCGAUGAAACCCUUCGGGGUUGAUUAGCGGCGGACGGGUGAGUAACACGUGGGUAACCUGCCUUAUAGAGGGGGAUAGCCUUCCGAAAGGAAGAUUAAUACCGCAUAACAUGUUUGUAUCGCAUGGUAUAGACAUCAAAGGAGUAAUCCGCUAUAAGAUGGACCCGCGGCGCAUUAGCUAGUUGGAGAGGUAACGGCUCACCAAGGCGACGAUGCGUAGCCGACCUGAGAGGGUGAUCGGCCACAUUGGAACUGAGACACGGUCCAGACUCCUACGGGAGGCAGCAGUGGGGAAUAUUGCGCAAUGGGGGAAACCCUGACGCAGCAACGCCGCGUGAAUGAAGAAGGCCUUAGGGUUGUAAAGUUCUGUUUUCUGGGACGAUAAUGACGGUACCAGAGGAGGGAGCCACGGCUAACUACGUGCCAGCCGCCGCCGUAACAC